GUCUUUUGAGUACCUUCGUUUCCUCGGCGGGUCCGCCCGCCGAUUGGACAACAUUCAAACCCUUUGCAGUUGCAAUCAGCGUCUGAAAAAACAUAAUAGUUACAACUUUCAACAACGGAUCUCUUGGUUCUGGCAUCGAUGAAGAACGCAGCGAAAUGCGAUAAGUAGUGUGAAUUGCAGAAUUCAGUGAAUCAUCGAAUCUUUGAACGCACAUUGCGCCCCUUGGUAUUCCAUGGGGCAUGCCUGUUCGAGCGUCAUUUGUACCUUCAAGCUCUGCUUGGUGUUGGGUGUUUGUCUCGCCUCUGCGUGUAGACUCGCCUUAAAACAAUUGGCAGCCGGCGUAUUGAUUUCGGAGCGCAGUACAUCUCGCGCUUUGCACUCAUAACGACGACGUCCAAAAGUACAUUUUUACACUCUUGACCUCGGAUCAGGUAGGGAUACCCGCUGAACUUAAGCAUAUC
rnacentral:rRNA from 1 species